CUGACGAGUGUGCCGGAGGAGAUCGGGCAGCUAACGGCGAUGACGGAGUUAUACCUCAACGCCAAUCAGCUGACGAGCUUGCCGGUGGAGAUCGGGCAGCUCAGGUCACUGGAGAUGUUGCAGCUCGGCGGCAAUCAGCUGACGAGCGUGCCGGCGGAGAUCAGGCAGCUCACGUCGCUGAAGUGUUUGGACCUCAACAACAAUCAGCUGACGAGUGUGCCGGCGGAGAUCGGGCAGCUCACGUCGCUGAUUAGUUUGCACCUCGGCAAAAAUCAGCUGACGAGCGUGCCGGCGGAGAUCGGGCAGCUAACGGCGAUGACGGAGUUAUACCUCAACGCCAAUCAGCUGACGAGCUUGCCGGCGGAGAUCUGGCAGCUCACGCCGCUGACAGAGUUGUACCUCUACGGCAAUCAGCUGACGAGCGUGCCGGCGGAGAUCGGGCAGCUCAGGUCGCUGACGGAAUUGAAUCUCUCCAG
rnacentral:lncRNA from 1 species